GUUACCCUGGGGUGUUGGCCAGCAGGUUAAGUCCCUGAGCCGAUAAUCUUUCUUUUAGGGAUAGCUUCACGUGCUAUUGUGCAAGCUCAGACUAAACUGAGAAGCCUGCGGCAAAUGAUUGUUAUUCCGCCUUGAACCAUAUGGUUCAAGGGCAGACGCCAUGCAGCGGCACCUUGGGGCACCU
rnacentral:other from 1 species